rnacentral:rRNA from 1 species
CUCAAAUGAAUUGACGGGGGCCCGCACAAGCGGUGGAGCAUGUGGUUUAAUUCGAUGCAACGCGAAGAACCUUACCUACCCUUGACAUCGUGCGAACUUUCCAGAGAUGGAUUGGUGCCUUCGGGAACGCACAGACAGGUGCUGCAUGGCUGUCGUCAGCUCGUGUUGUGAAAUGUUGGGUUAAGUCCCGUAACGAGCGCAACCCUUGUCCUUAUUUGCCAGCGAGUCAUGUCGGGAACUCUAAGGAGACUGCCGGUGACAAACCGGAGGAAGGUGGGGACGACGUCAAGUCAUCAUGGCCCUUACGGGUAGGGCUACACACGUGCUACAAUGGCCGGUACAAAGGGUUGCGAAGCCGCGAGGUGGAGCUAAUCCCGAAAAGCUGGUCUCAGUCCGGAUCGGAGUCUGCAACUCGACUCCGUGAAGUCGGAAUCGCUAGUAAUCGUGAU